GUGUGUGCGCAGAGAGGUAGUGCUCAGAGGAGGGGUGUGUGUGCACAGAGAGGUAGUGCUCAGAGGAGGGGUGUGUGUGCGCAGAGAGGUAGUGCUCAGAGGAGGGGUGUGUGCACAGAGAGGUAGUGCUCAGAGGAGGAGUGUGUGUGCGGAGCUGUGUGCACAGAGGAGGGGUGUGUGUGCGCAGAGAGGUAGUGCUCAGAGGAGCGGUGUGUGCGCAGAGAGGUAGUGCUCAGAGGAGCGGUGUGUGCACAGAGAGGUAGUGCUCAGAGGAGGGGUGUGUGUGCGCAGAGAGGUAGUGCUCAGAGGAGGGGUGUGUUUGCGCAGAGAGGUAGUGCUCAGAGGAGGGGUGUGUGUGCACAGAGAGGUAGUGCUCAGAGGAGGGGUGUGUGUGCGGAGCUGUGUGCACAGAGGAGGGGUGUGUGUGCGGAGCUGUGUGCACAGAGGAGGGGUGUGUGUGCGCAGAGAGGUAGUGCUCAGAGGAGGGGUGUGUGCGCAGAGAGGUAGUGCUCAGAGGAGCGGUGUGUGCGCAGAGAGGUAGUGCUCAGAGGAGCGGUGUGUGCGCAGAGAGAUAGUGCUCAGAGGAGGGGUGUGUGUGCGGAGCUGUGUGCACAGAGGAGGGGUGUGUGUGCGCAGAGAGGUAGUGCUCAGAGGAGAGGUGUGUGCGCAGAGAGGUAGUGCUCAGAGGAGCGGUGUGUGCGCAGAGAGGUAGUGCUCAGAGGAGGGGUGUUUGUGCGCAGAGAGGUAGUGCUCAGAGGAGCGGUGUGUGCGCAGAGAGGUAGUGCUCAGAGGAGCGGUGUGUGCACAGAGAGGUAGUGCUCAGAGGAGGGGUGUGUGUGCGCAGAGAGGUAGUGCUCAGAGGAGGGGUGUGUUUGCGCAGAGAGGUAGUGCUCAGAGGAGGGGUGUGUGUGCACAGAGAGGUAGUGCUCAGAGGAGGGGUGUGUGUGCGGAGCUGUGUGCACAGAGGAGGGGUGUGUGUGCGGAGCUGUGUGCACAGAGGAGGGGUGUGUGUGCGCAGAGAGGUAGUGCUCAGAGGAGGGGUGUGUGCGCAGAGAGGUAGUGCUCAGAGGAGCGGUGUGUGCGCAGAGAGGUAGUGCUCAGAGGAGGGGUGUGUGUGCGGAGCUGUGUGCACAGAGGAGGGGUGUGUGUGCGCAGAGAGGUAGUGCUCAGAGGAGGGGUGUGUGUGCGGAGCUGUGUGCACAGAGGAGGGGUGUGUGUGCGGAGCUGUGUGCACAGAGGAGGGGUGUGUGUGCGCAGAGAGGUAGUGCUCAGAGGAGCGGUGUGUGCGCAGAGAGGUAGUGCUCAGAGGAGCGGUGUGUGCGCAGAGAGGUAGUGCCCAGAGGAGGGGUGUGUGUGCGCAGAGAGGUAGUGCUCAGAGGAGGGGUGUGUGUGCGCAGAGAGGUAGUGCUCAGAGGAGGGGUGUGUGUGCGCAGAGAGGUAGUGCUCAGAG